rnacentral:lncRNA from 1 species
UCAAACGGUAACCACGGUCUGAGAAUAGCUCAUGCUUGCAAUAUGAUGCAUGAUUGAUUUUUCUGCGUAAUGCUCCAUACUUAUGGAAAUGCUACGCGAUUUAUUAUGCGAUAUGCUAUGCUAUUUUUUCAUGAUGAAUGUAUAAAAGAGCAUCCCCCUCAAGGGACUCUUCUGAGGAGCUCGAGACACUCUGCUGAGGAACUCGUCAACAAUCCGAUUCCACCCUGCUGGGGAAUAGUGCUGCUGCUGGGAAAAGGCAACCC